rnacentral:rRNA from 1 species
GACAGAGGGGGCAAGCGUUGCUCGGAAUCACUGGGCGUAAAGGGCGCGUAGGCGGCCACCGCAAGUCAGUUGUGAAAUCUCUGGGCUUAACCCAGAAAGGUCAACUGAUACUGCGGGGCUAGAGUGCAGAAGGGGCAACUGGAAUUCUCGGUGUAGCGGUGAAAUGCGUAGAUAUCGAGAGGAACACCUGCGGCGAAGGCGGGUUGCUGGGCUGACACUGACGCUGAAGCGCGAAAGCUAGGGGAGCGAACGGG